GCCUUUCCUGACAAGCGUGAUUUGGAUUCAGCUGAAUAUGAAGAUCAAAUGAUGUCCAGUGCUUUGCUCCUUAUUCCAGCACUGAUGCGCGAAACAAUUAAAUAUGAUAUGCCUGUGGAGGUAUCAUCCUCGCAGAAGGCAGGGAGAUUUGCAAGGUAUCUGG